GGAAUCCGUAUGAAGCCAAGGCUUAGACAUUUUGAUUAGGCUCCUUCUGGACGAAGGCCUUUUAAAGAAGGAUUCUAAUUAGUUAAGGAUUCUCCCUGUAUUUUAUAAACAUUUGAGAUUUUUUUCUCCAGAAUUAGUGGAGGAAUAUAUUUGCCAGUCAAUAAUAUGAAUUGAGAAGUUUGUCAAGAUUCAUUAAUGGGCUGAAUCCAGUUAAGAUCUCAUAGAGAAGAUGGCAAAAUUCUUCUCCGUAUCUCUAGGGUGCCAUUUGAGAUCACUUUAUUUGCUUUGGGGAAACUAUUACCCUGACAUUCUGCCAAGUACAUUCAAGAAAUAUUCACUGAGGGCCUCCUGUGUCUCAGGCACCAUAGUAGGCUUGGUGCUGUCGAAGAUCAGUGAGCUGGGUUCCUCAAGC
rnacentral:lncRNA from 1 species